UGGGGAAUAUUGGACAAUGGGCGAAAGCCUGAUCCAGCCAUGCCGCGUGUGUGAAGAAGGUCUUCGGAUUGUAAAGCACUUUAAGUUGGGAGGAAGGGCAUUAACCUAAUACGUUAGUGUUUUGACGUUACCGACAGAAUAAGCACCGGCUAACUCUGUGCCAGCAGCCGCGGUAAUACAGAGGGUGAAAGCGUUAAUGGGAAUUACUGGGCGUAAAGCGCGCUUAGGUGGUUUGUUAAGUUGGAUGUGAAAUCCCCGGGCUCAACCUGGGAACUGCAUUCAAAACUGACUGACUAGAGUAUGGUAGAGGGUGGUGGAAUUUCCUGUGUAGCGGUGAAAUGCGUAGAUAUAGGAAGGAACACCAGUGGCGAAGGCGACCACCUGGACUAAUACUGACACUGAGGUGCGAAAGCGUGGGGAGCAAACA
rnacentral:rRNA from 1 species